CCGAUUUGUAUUAUAAGCAUGACGACGUUUCUGGAUGAAUUAUUGCUUAAAGGCAAUUUUUUAUAUCUUUAGCCUUUUAAUGCUAUUUGCUGUAUAUGUAGAUAUUUGUGCUUUUUCUCUGAAAUCGCUUCACAAAUAGAUUGUUUUCACAUCAGAAUAAUAAUGUCAACAAGUCAGCCUCCACACACACACACCCUCCAACCCAAAGCCCUCCAAGAGCUAAGUCCAAAAAAGAGUCCCGUGUGUCAACACUUGCUCACCGAGCAGAGUAAACCAAAUUACAACACAAUGCAAAGAAAUGAAUUUGAAAUACCAGAAAACACUUGACUGUCUUUUCUAAUCCAAGCGACAUUGUUGGAGUCAGAAGCUCGCACUCAACUUUGUUGUCCAGCGGACAGAAGGAAAUUCAUAAUCGUUAAUAAAACAAAACAAUUUUUGUUCACUAGAUUGUAAAAUUUUGAACAUUGAACGUGAAGUACCACAGCAAUCUUUUUCCAAACGAAGCACAUUCCUCUUAUGUUAUCGUUCAAUCACAUCCGCUGUCAAUACUCACUUGGGUAAGUUGGGCUCAUGUUUUUCUUGAUUACUAACAUAAAGAGAGCUUAAUGAGAAACUGUGUAUAACUAGAAAGUCCAAAUUACAUAACUGAAUAAAUAAUAAUAAACACAAUGCAUCAUAAAAUUAGUUUGCCAUUCACACGUCCCUGUUCAUUUGUCCAUCAAAAGCCAUUAAAGAUUCCUUGAUACCAAAGCAUCUCUCACUGAAAAGAAUUUCUCAAUUUUUCCAUCUCUUCUUUCUUGUAGUAAUAUGAGAUGGAGAGAUACAUGGGUCACAAACUGUCAUGAUUCUGCCCCACGCACACUUGAACUUAAAUGUAUUUUGGUUGUGGACUCUUUUUUUUUCUCUGCGUUUGCUUUAAGAUUAUAUUCUGUAGUUUUCCUCAUGUCUAGGUUUUAGUAAAGUUACCGUGGUUACCCCCUGUUUGUUUAUGUCGAGUUUGUCAUUUCCUGUUAUUACUUUGAAGUCACGUUCCUCUUGUCUCUGCACUUCCUGUCUCUUUCCAAUGGGACUCACCUGGUGUGUUGGGUCUCUGUGCUCGCCGUCCUCGGGUCAGUUCGUCCUGUUUGCAACCGGUCGGGGAUGUCUGUCGUUUCUUGUUCCCCGCAUUGUUGUUUUUUUUAAUCUCCAGGUGAUUUUUGGUUAUCUUUACUUCCCGAGACUCAGCUGAUAGACACUGAAGCAUGACCUGCCAUCAGCAAUGGUACGAUACGUACAGUACAGUAAAGCAUGAUACUGAUUCCCAGCAGGUCGUCGUAGAAGAUGUCUUCGUCGUGCACCUCGAGCCGCAGGACGCCAUUCUCCUGGGCCUUGAAGUGGCUGAACUCCUCCGUCCACCAGGGGUUUGCGUUGUUGUGGUUGACGGACGUCUCACCC